GACGAACGCUGGCGGCGUGCUUAACACAUGCAAGUCGAACGGAAAGGCCCUGCUUGCAGGGUACUCGAGUGGCGAACGGGUGAGUAACACGUGGGUGAUCUGCCCUGCACUUCGGGAUAAGCCUGGGAAACUGGGUCUAAUACCGGAUAGGAGCCAUUUUUAGUGUGAUGGUUGGAAAGUUUUUUCGGUGUAGGAUGAGCUCGCGGCCUAUCAGCUUGUUGGUGGGGUAAUGGCCUACCAAGGCGGCGACGGGUAGCCGGCCUGAGAGGGUGGACGGCCACAUUGGGACUGAGAUACGGCCCAGACUCCUACGGGGGGCAGAAGUGGGGAAUAUUGCACAAUGGGCGCAAGCCUGAUGCAGCGACGCCGCGUGGGGGAUGACGGCCUUCGGGUUGUAAACGCCUUUCGCUAGGGACGAAGCUUUUUGUGACGGUACCUAGAUAAGAAGCACCGGCUAACUACGUG
rnacentral:rRNA from 1 species